UGGACAGGAGCCAUCCCGCCCAGGUCCUGCAGCCUGACCCAGAUGCACCUGGCCAGCAUCUCAGCUCCAUACCCAGGCUGAGCCCCAACUCCUCUGUGAUGUCAGACUGGGCUCCAUCUCCCCUCUGACCCCAAGACAGGCCUCUGUCACACUGUGGCUCCCUCCAGGUGCGUUCUUGUGGCCAUGUACAGCUGUGUGCCUCAUGCACAACAGCACUUUGUGUGAAUCAUGUGCUUGUGUGACAGGUGUGUGCCCGUGUUGGAGACUGUGGCCACUUCACACCCUUGGGACCCCCAAAGGCCAUCCUGUGAGAAUUCCAUACCCUCCUGUCUGUUGCUGGGCCUUUGGGUCUGGCUCUUGUCUCCUCUUGGGGAACUCCAGCAGAUGCCUCUGCUGCCUGUACCCACAGUGUCCCUGGGUUGUGGCCUUGUGUGAUGCAGGAUGCAGGGGUGGCGCCAGAACUGUCUCAUGCCUCACCCUUGCUGUCAUCCUGAGCAUCCUGAGUCUCCCCAGCUCAGGAGACCCUCAGGUCAUCACAGGAAGAAGGCGCAUGGAGCAGCAGAGCCAGGCUGAGCACCUGGACCCAGCAGUGACUGCAGUCCAAAACUGCACACCGGAUCUGGUUAGCGGGUCAUUAAGUGCCUUAUUUGUGCAAGCCAGCUGAUUCCCUUUCCAUCAACAGCCGAAGGACACUGAGGCAGCAAGUGACAGCUGCCUCUUGCAGCUCUGCUCCAGCUCCAGGGGCUAUGAGACCCUCACCCUAACUGCUGGGGAGCAGAAGGCGAGGGGUGCAAACCUCAGUUUCCAUGUGGCGGUGAGGCCUUGGGCUGCGAGUGCCCAGAGCCAGAAGGCUCUAAGGGCGGAGCUUAAUCC
rnacentral:lncRNA from 1 species